rnacentral:rRNA from 1 species
GCUUAACACAUGCAAGUCGAGCGAGAAUCGUUUUGCUGAAGGCUUCGGUCUGACGCAGAAUGAGGAAAGCGGCGAACGGGUGAGUAACGCGUGGGCAACCUGGCCUUAAGAAAAGGAUAGCCCCCGGAAACGGGGAGUAAUACUUUAUGAGAAUAGAAAAGGGCAUCCUAUUUCUAUUCAAAGCGCAAGCGCUUAAGGAUGGGCCCGCGUAUCAUUAGCUAGUUGGUGAGAUAACAGACCACCAAGGCAACGAUGAUUAGCCGGUCUGAGAGGGCGAACGGCCACAUUGGAAGUGAGAGACGGUCCAAACUCCUACGGGAGGCAGCAGUGGGGAAUAUUGCGCAAUGGAGAAGAACUCUGACGCAGCAAUACCGCGUGAGCGAAGAAGGUCUUCGGAUCGUAAAGCUCUGUUAUCAGGGAAGAAGAAAAUGACGGUACCUUAUGAGAAAGCCACGGCUAACUACGUGCCAGCCACCGCGGUAAAAC